rnacentral:rRNA from 1 species
GGAUCAAUAUGUUGGUCGUGCCUUGGUACGUACUAAUUUAUUGGUUUCUUCCUCCUGACGAACCAUGAUGUCAUUAAUUUGGUAUCUUGGGGAAUCAGGACUGUUACUUUGAAAAAAUUAGAGUGUUUAAAGCAAGCUAACGCUUGAAUACAUUGGCGUGGAAUAAUAAAAUAGGACGUUCGAUCCUAUUUUGUUGGUUUCUAGGAUUGACGUA